GAAUCUUUAAUGAAACAGCAGCACAACGUUAAGAAAAACUUCAGUCGCUUGCUUCCUGAGUAAGCAUGGCUGUAGAAAGAAAAACAUAAGGAUCUUGAUUCUGCUCAGCACUGGCCUCAUCUGCUACUGAUGAUUUCUCCUCAAAAAACAUUUAUUUUGGGGUGGGAUAUAGAAGAAUAGACCCAUUGGAAGCCCUGAUGCUUAUUUGACAGGGUUGAUGAGCAGCAAUAGUUACAACUGAAGUCAGUGAGAACUGUGCUGUAGACCACCAAGUGGCUAAAUGAGG